GACGAACGCUGGCGGCAGGCUUAACACAUGCAAGUCGAACGAUUGAAAGUGGCAGACGGGUGCGUAACACGUGGGAACCUACCCUAAGGUACGGAAUAACAGUUAGAAAUGACUGCUAAUACCGUAUAUGUCUUCGGAUGAAAGAUUUAUCGCCUUAGGAUGGGCCCGCGGCAGAUUAGGUAGUUGGUGGGGUAAAAGCCUACCAAGCCCACGAUCUGUAGCUGGUCUGAGAGGAUGAUCAGCCACACUGGGACUGAGACACGGCCCAGACUCCUACGGGAGGCAGCAGUGAGGAAUAUUGGACAAUGGGGGCAACCCUGAUCCAGCCAUGCCGCGUGAGUGAUGAAGGCCUUAGGGUUGUAAAACUCUUUCGCUAGUGAAGAUAAUGACGGUAACUAGUAAAGAAGCCCCGGCUAAUUUCG
rnacentral:rRNA from 1 species